rnacentral:misc_RNA from 1 species
GGAAGUAGAAGUCGUAACAAGGUUUCUGUAGGUGAACCUGCAGAAGGAUCAUUACCGGUCCAAACAAGCCUCAUUGGUUACGCCAUUUUGAGCCGUAUCGAUGGGUCGUCCAGCCUGUAAAGGACGGAUCGUCGCCUUGCCAGGCGUACACGGUUCCCCAUUUCGAUGCGUCUUAGUGUCGGCGAGUAAUGUCCGCCUCAACGCAUUACUUGAAGUUUUUUGCCGUACACUUGUCCAUUUACCAACGGGUAUUGUUGGUGUCUGCCCUCGUAGCAUAGCAAUCGCCCGUCCGUCGGUUGCAAUGAUGCUCGAGCGACAGUUCCUCCAAAUGGUCUCUCGGGAUCAGGCGGGGUAGAGCAGACUUAAUGAGCACUGGCUAGGGUGCCGCCAACGCUUUUCACCCCCUUUAACCAUGUUUAAUCUGGAAUAUGACCAGUGAGACUACUGGCGAAAGAAACUACUCUUAGCGGUGGAUCACUCGGCUCGU